rnacentral:rRNA from 1 species
CCUACGGGAGGCAGCAGUGAGGAAUAUUGGUCAAUGGGCGCGAGCCUGAACCAGCCAAGUAGCGUGAAGGAUGAAUGCCCUACGGGCUGUAAACUUCUUUUAUAAAGGAAUAAAGUGAGGCACGUGUGCCUUUUUUUAUUUACUUUAUGAAUAAGGAUAGUCUAACUCCGUGCCAUCAGCCGCGGUAAUACGGAGGAUCCGAGCGUUAUCCGGAUUGAUUGGGUUUAAAGGGAGAGUAGAUGGGUUGUUAAGUUAGUUGUGAAAGUUUGCGGCUCAACCGUAAAAUUGCAAUUGAUACUGGCAGUCUUGAGUACAGUUGAGGUAGGCGGAAAUCGUGGUGGAGCGGUGAAAUGCUUAGAUAUCACGAAGAACUCCGAUUGCGAAGGCAGCUUACUAAACUGCCACUGACAUUGAUGCUCGAAAGUGUGGGUAUCAAACAGGAUUAGAUACCCCUGUAGUC